UAAAGUGGUCUCACGGAUGUAGUACUCUUUGAAUGAUUCAUUUUUCUUGAAUAUUUUUCUGUAACUGCACUGAUAACGGAGUUAAGACACGAAACAGUUGCGUGGAUCGUCCUGUGCCGAUUCAGACGAUGUGGCAAACUUCGCACAAAGUCUAAUUAUAAAAUUAGCGUAAUAUUAUGUAGAGGAUAUUAUAUUGUAUUUCCUUAUGGAAAUUAAAAUUGCCUAAUAAAAGAAAGAAAAAUAAAGCUCGGUUAAAUGUUCCACUGUAAAGCUUCUCAAUUUUUUCUGAACGUAUGUACUCACUUUUUUGACAUCCUGUAUAUUGUAAUUGAACUAUGGUAAUAUAUCCUACAAAGAAUAUUACAUUGUAUUUCCUUAUGGAAAUUAGAAUUGCCUAAUAAAAGAAAGAAAAAUAAAGCUCGGUUAAAUGUUCCACUGUAAAGCUUCUCAAUUUUUUCUGAACGUAUGUGCUCACUUUUUUGACAUCCUGUAUAUUGUAAUUGAACUAUGGUAAUAUAUCCUACAAAGAAUAUUACAUUGUAUUUCCUUAUGCAAAUUAGAAUUGCCUAAUAAAAGAAAAGUUGUCUAAUAAAAAAUAAAGUUUGGUUAAAUGUUCUACUGUAAACCUUCUCACUUCUUCCUAACCUUACAUGCUCUCAUUUUGUAUAUUGUACAUGAACUAUGGUAGCAUAUCCUUCAAAAAAUAUUACAUUACAUUUCCUUAUGGAAAUUAGAAUUGCCUAAUAAAAGAAAAGUUGUCUAAUUUGGUUAAAUGUUCCACUGUAAAGCUUUUCAAUUCUUCCUAACCUUGCAUGUUCUCAUUCUGUAUAUUGUACAUGAACUAUGGUAGCAUAUCCUUCAAAAAAUAUUACAUUACAUUUCCUUAUGGAAAUUAGAAUUGCCUAAUAAAAGAAAAGUUGUCUAAUUUGGUUAAAUGUUCCACUGUAAAGCUUUUCAAUUCUUCCUAACCUUGCAUGUUCUCAUUCUGUAUAUUGUACAUGAACUAUGGUAGCAUAUCCUUCAAAAAAUAUUACAUUACAUUUCCUUAUGGAAAUUAGAAUUGCCUAAUAAAAGAAAAGUUGUCUAAUUUGGUUAAAUGUUCCACUGUAAAGCUUUUCAAUUCUUCCUAACCUUGCAUGUUCUCAUUCUGUAUAUUGUACAUGAACUAUGGUAGCAUAUCCUUCAAAAAAUAUUACAUUACAUUUCCUUAUGGAAAUUAGAAUUGCCUAAUAAAAGAAAAAAAAAUAAAGCUCGGUUAAAUGUUCCACUGUAAACCUUCUCAAUUCUUUCCAAACUAAUGUGCUCACGCUUUCAACAUCCUGUAUAUUGUACACGACCAUGGCAGCCACUAGUUAUACGGAUACAAAACUACUUGCACGUAGAUUUCAUAUUCGAUUGAACAAGAGGCUGGCAACCCUCGGAACACAGUUAACCGGCCAUCUUCCUCUUUGACUAGUUUCAGAGCAGCAUUCCUUUGUUCUUCCAUGCUGGCGUGAGUGGCGUGCAACGUGCAACCCACUCGUUAAAACACGUAAUCGUAAGGAAGGAUGCAACGCGUGCUUUAACCCUGGAAUUCGUGUUUCCCGCGUAAACGUCGUGGGUAAUUCUGUGAAUAGUAUAGUCAGAUGCUUCCUGGGUACGAUCAGCGCAUAUUGGGGCCAUUUUACAAGACCACAUUAUGUGUCCGGCACUUUAUGGUUAAAACCUUAUGAACGUAUCACAAAAAUUUGCUUGCUUAACUCAUGUAAA